AUUAGCUCAGUUGGUAGAGCAACUGACUCUUAAUCAGUGGGUCCCGGGUUCGAGUCCCUGAUG
rnacentral:tRNA from 4 species